AUGUAUCAUGUGGUUGUGCUUGCCUAUGGUGUUGAAAGUGAUAGAGUUCUUGGUAUCCCUGGAGAAGAUUUGGGAGGGAUACACUCGGCUAGAGAAUUUGUUUGGUGGUAUAAUGGGCACCCUGACUGCCAAUAUUUGGCUCCAGACUUAAAGAGCACUGAUACAGCUAUUAUUCUUUGUCAGAUAUCUUCUUAUUUCUCUCUUUCUUUCUUUUUUUUUCUUUGUGAAUUUUUAGCGAGACAAAUUAUAAGAUCCUGUGCAGAACAGAGGUUUUGAAUUUACACUUCAAUGAAGCCAUAGAUCUCUUCAGCUGGCAUUUAGAUCAAUGGAUUCAUUGUUCUCUCCAAACCCAUCACUGCAAUCACAACCAUUCCCUUCACCAACAUAAAUUUUAACCAAGAUUAUUACUAGACAUCACAAAAGAAGGUUUUUAAGUGUUUGAUGAUGCGUCUAAAGAUGGUUAAGUUUGUUGGUUUAAGAUGGAAUUGCUGUGACUUCUACUUUUGCAAAAGAUGGUUAUCAAGGUAACAGAAGGAACAUAUUACUAUUGGCGUGGUAUAUGUAGAUUACCAGUGGAUAUUUUUUUUUUGUGUACAGAGGACAUCUUUUUUGUAUGAUCCUCUGUUUGUAUGGAAUUAUUAUUUUUGGUUGGAUUAUAUUUGGUUUGUGUAGAAUUUGAUAUUAAAAGACCAAAUUUUUGUAUGGUUGAAACGAAAUAGAAAUAGGUGUAUGUAUUGUUUUGUUUA